rnacentral:snRNA from 1 species
GUGCUUAUUUCAGCAUCACAUAUACUAAAUUGGAAUGAUACAGAGAAAAAAAUAGCAUGGCCCCCCGCACAAAGAUGACAUGCAAAUUUGUGAGAUGCUCCAUAUUUUU